UUACUUUCUCGUUUUACCAACCCUUUCUCGACUGCGUCGAAGAAAAACGACAGUUCACAAAGUGCUAUAAGAUUCGGAAUCCGAACGCUCUCGCGCUCUCGGAAUCUCUCUAAUGAUCCUUCCGCAGGUUCACCUACGGAAA
rnacentral:misc_RNA from 1 species